UUUUAUAUGAUGAAUUCUGACCU
rnacentral:miRNA from 1 species